rnacentral:lncRNA from 1 species
GAUGCACAAAAAAAAAAUUUUUUUUUUUUUUAGAGAGAUAGGUAGCACGCUACCCGUUUCGUUUAUUUCAUUUAGAAAUAAACUUAGCUUGAAAAGUAAAUCAAAUAGGAUUUGAACUUGCGUCUCGGGUACCAAUCAUCAAGCCUCUUGUCACUUGCUCUAGAAACGAUCGGUGAUGCACAAAAAAAAAGAAGAAAAAACUAUAUGAAAGGAAUGCUCGGUCACAUCAAAUAGUCUGAAGACGCGUCUCCUACUUCUCUUAUCUUCACUUCAAAGAAAUUACAUGAAUAUCUACAAGAAUAUAGUAUGCACCAAAUUUAUUUUAUUAAUUUAAAGGGUAAACUUCAAAUAUUUCUUAUGUGGUUUCAUAUUUUUUCACUUUAGUACCCAGUAGUUUAAAGUGUAUCAAAUUAGCUCUUGUGGUUUCACACUUUCUCACUUUAAUAUCCUGUGGUUUAAAGUAUAUCAAAUUAGUACCUUGUAAUUUUAUUUUUCUCUUUUUAUUAUCUAUUUCACUAAUUUUUUUUUCGUAAAAUUUGUGACAAAGUUAAAAUUAAAGGGUACUAAAGUGAAUAUUUGAUAAACCUAGGUAGGGUAUCUGAAGUUUUUUGCAUAUAAUUUAACGAAAUAUUAACGGAGAAAAAAAAUCAGUGACAAAAUUAAAACUAAAAGAGUACUAAAGUAAAUAUUUAGUAAACCUAGGUAUGUAUCUGAAGUUUUUUGUAUAUAAUUUAAUGAAAUAUUAACAGAGCAGCCAACGAAAAGAGAAAAAUAAAACCACAGAGUACUAACUUGAUGCACUUUAAACCACAGGGUACUAAAGUGAGAAAGUGCGAAACCGUAGUGUAUUAAAUUGAUACACUUUAAACUAUAGGGUACUAAAGUGAAAAAGUACGAAACCAUAGGGGUGGUAUUUGAAGUUUUCCCUAAUUUAAAAUUAAAAUAUAAUUUAACAUAUAUAAUCUAUAUUAUAUAUAAAAGUCUAUGUACAAAAUAUUAUCAAUAAACUUCUAUUAAGCCCCGUAAUUUUUAGUCCACGUGGCAAGUUUGGCUUAAUUUGAGGCAUAUGGGACCUAUCUAUCAGUAUUCCAAUUCUCUUUUGAAUAUUUAUUAGUGUAGGAUCCAUGCUUCGCGGCGGAUCAACAUCGGCAACCUAAAAUCUUAGUUCGAUUUUCGAUUUAAAAUUUAAAUUUAAAAUUUGACUUUAUAGUUGAAUUUUAAACUAUCAUUCAGAUUUAAAAUUCAAAAUUGAAAAAUUUCAAAUAAACAUCUUUCAGACUUAGAUUUUAAAUAUUAUUUUUAACUUUUAAAUAUCAAAUAUCAAAUUUAAAAUUUUAGGUUUCAAAUAUUAGAUUUUAUAUUUUAAAGUUUAAAAUUCAAAAUUUGAAUAUAAAAUGUAAAAUUUAAAAUUUAGGAACUGAAAUUUAAAGUUUAAAAAUGUAAAAUUGUAAAAUUUAGUUUUAGUAAUUAAGAUAAAAUAUAAAAUAUUUAAAUUUUAAGUUUUAAAUUUCAAAUUGCAAUAUUUUAAAAAGUAAAUUAUAAAUUGAAUUUAAAAAUUUUAAACAUUAAAUUUUGAAUAUUUUAAAAUUUAGUUUUAGUAAUUAAGAUAAAAUAUAAAAUUUUUAAAUUUUAAGUUUUAACUUUUAAAUUUCAAAUUAGUAACUACCUGUAGCUGUAGCUGUAGCUGGUACUCCUCUAGCUCUGUGACUCGUCUGGAAGGGCUCUAACUCGCAACGCCCUUGCCACGAUCAGUAUCAGCAGUAGCAGCAGCCGCCGCAACCGAAGGCUCUGCAAAAGAUCCACAACUUGGCGUGAGAACUACUGCAAAACAGAAGUAGUCUUCAGUGGGUACCGCUACCGACCUCAACGGCUCACCCACUAAGUCUACAGAAGGUAUACCCAAUGAUAGUAAAGGAACUGAAAACAAUCUACAGCUACAUGCCACUAUACUAUCAUGAUCCGACACCACUAUCUGUAGGAUAAGGCAAGUUCUGACCCAAUCUCACUAGGGACUGUGAAUACACCCGUCCCGGGGACUGUGAAUGCAUCUGUCCCGCCUGUCGAAACUAUACAGCUACCUCCACACUAAGCCAUCCUUGGAGAGCAAGUGCAACCAAGACAAAACGACACCAACGCAAACACACAAAGCACGACUCCGAAGUGGCACUCGUGGGCGCUACCCAACCGAGUAUGCAAGCGUAUCUCUGCCGAGCUCAAUUAGGCUCUCACAGGCUAUAGUCAAGUAAACAGGGUAUAACUCAUCUAACAACCAAACUCAUGUGCCCUCGGCAUAAUCUGAUGCAAAAAUAGCAAUCUGGGUCCACCGUCAACUACAACGGCAUCCGACAGUCCAGAACAGCCUAAACACUGCUGUAAAAAUAAGUUCGGCAUCUCAGCAUGAGCGUAAAUGCAUUCUACACUAAUCAGAGUAUCCACCGCCCAUAAACUGCGGCGAUACAAACAAAAACGGCUCCUAAAGCUAAAUCUGGUAGUUUUAACAUGUGACGAUGUAGAAACACCAGUUUUCUCCUAAGUCAAAUUCAAGUCCAACAUGUAUAAUUUACUAACAUAUUAAGCUUCCAAUUCAGAUUUGUGAACAUAAUAAAUCAACGAAUCGAGCAAUGAAAC